rnacentral:rRNA from 1 species
GAUGAACGCUGGCGGCGUGCCUAAUACAUGCAAGUCGAGCGAACAGACGAGGAGCUUGCUCCUCUGACGUUAGCGGCGGACGGGUGAGUAACACGUGGAUAACCUCCCUAUAAGACUGGGAUAACUUCGGGAAACCGGCGCUAAUACCGGAUAAUCUAUUGAACCGCAUGGUUCAAUAGUGAAAGACGGUUUUGCUGUCUCUUCUCGAUGGAUCCGCGCCGCAUUAGCUAGUUGGUAAGGUAACGGCUUACCAAGGCAACGAUGCGUAGCCGAACUGAGAGGGUGAUCGGCCACACUGGAACUGAGACACGGUCCAGACUCCUAAGGGAGGCAGCAGUAGGGAAUCGUACGCAAUGGGCGAAAGACUGACGGAGCAACGCCGCGUGAGUGAUGAAGGUCUUCGGAUCGUAAAAAUCUGUUAUUAGGGAAGAACAAAUGUGUAAGUAACUAUGCACGUCUUGACGGUACCUAAUCAGAAAGCAACGGCUAACUACGUG